CCCAGUGGGCCACUUUUGGUAAGCAGAACUGGNGCUGUGGGAUGAACCAAACGACGGGUUAAGGGGCCCGAUGCAGGACGCUCAUGAGACCCCAUGAAAGGUGUUGGUUGCUAUAGACAGCAGGACGGUGGCCAUGGAAGUCGGAAUCCGCUAAGGAGUGUGUAACAACUCACCUGCCGAAGCAACUAGCCCUGAAAAUGGAUGGCGCUUCAGCGUCGACCCCAUACCCGUCCGCCGCGGCGGAGAUGCGAUCGCAUUAUGCCGCGGUGAGUAGGAGGGCGCGGGGGCGCGCGUGGAAGGUGCCGGGCGUAAGCCCGCCUGGAGCCGCCCCCGGUGCAGAUCUUGGUGGUAGUAGCAAAUACUCAAGUGAGAACCUUGAGGACUGAGGUGGAGAAGGGUUCCAUGUGAACAGCAGUUGAACAUGGGUCAGUCGGUCCUAAGGGAUGUCCGAAAGGAUUUCCGAAGGGGGACUUUAUGUAGGAGGGUCCCGCCCAUGACCGAAAGGGAAUCGGGUUAAUAUUCCCGAACCCGGACACGGAGAUCGGCCCCCUCGGGGGCACGUGCGGUAACGCAAACGACCUCGGAGACGUCGACGGGGGUCCCGGGAAGAGUUGUCUUUUCUUUGUAAGGGCUCGGUUCCCUGGAAUCGGCUCGCCCGGAGAUAGGGAUGCUGAGCCCGUAAAGCACCGCGCCUCUUGCGGUGUCCGGAGCGCUCCCGUCGGCCCUUGAAAAUCCGAGCGAGAGUUGGUGAUUUUCGUGCCGGACCGUACCCAUAUCCGCAGCA
rnacentral:rRNA from 1 species